rnacentral:lncRNA from 1 species
UUUCUUUUCCAUCACCAUUUCACAAUCAUUUUUAAUUCAACUUCAUUUCAAUUCAUUAUCCAUUCAAAGCCAAUUCCAAAAAGCACAAAUCACAAUUCUCGAUUUAACAUCGAGUCCAUUUUAAAACACCCUUGUAAGUCGAUUGCUCUUCGCAUCGCCAUCAACCUCACAUAGCUUACUCUUGGGCUUUCUUACAAUGAAGCCUACUUGGUUAUUGACUAAUCGAGUAGAUGAAAUAAUACACUAAAUAAAAA